GACGAACGCUGGCGGCGUGCUUAACACAUGCAAGUCGAACGAGAGCGUAGAGAAAGCUUGCUUUUUCUACAAUCUAGUGGCAAACGGGUGAGUAACGCGUAAACAACCUGCCCUACGGAUGGGGACAACAGCUGGAAACGGCUGCUAAUACCGAAUACGUUCCGAAAGUCGCAUGACUGUCGGAAGAAAGGAUGGCCUCUAUUUAUAAGCUAUCGCCGGAGGAGGGGUUUGCGUCUGAUUAGCUAGUUGGAGGGGUAACGGCCCACCAAGGCGACGAUCAGUAGCCGGUCUGAGAGGAUGAACGGCCACAUUGGAACUGAGACACGGUCCAGACUCCUACGGGAGGCAGCAGUGGGGAAUCUUCCGCAAUGGGCGAAAGCCUGACGGAGCAACGCCGCGUGAGUGAAGACGGCCUUCGGGUUGUAAAGCUCUGUUAUACGGGACGAAUAAUCUUGUGGUUAAUACCCAUGAGAAGUGACGGUACCGUAAGAGAAAGCCACGGCUAACUACGUG
rnacentral:rRNA from 1 species